CUUCCUGGAAGGUGACUCGGCCCGCCCAAAAAGGGUGGAGCCAGCUAAAUUGUGUCGGUCCCUGAAGCCCAGGAGACCUCCUGCAACUGUCCUGCCUGCCUGCUCUCCCUUCUGGACUUAGGACCUGAUCUAGUGUGGCUUCAUUACGGGACAGUCCCCCCUUCCUGUGAGGUGAUUCGAUCCUCCCAAAGAAGGUGAAGGUGGAGCCAGCUGAACUGUGCCUGUCCCUGAUGCUGAGGGGACCUUCUGCAACUGUCCUGUCUGUCUGCCUGCUCUCCUGCCUGUGCUUCUGCCCUGAUGUAGCUUAUCUUCAUCGCUAGAUGGCCACCCCUUCCUGGGAGAGUGGAGCCAGCUGAACUGUGCCUGACACUGAAGCUCAGGGUACCUUGUGCAGCUGUCCUGUCUGCC